UUUCCAUCCGUUUGAUUGUGAAAUUAUUGCCAACAGCCGGUUUCGUUAGCAAUUUAAAUGUGUUACUUUGAUUGUUCCCGAAUAUUCGGUCACCGAAAAAUUUAAAAGUGUUAUUAACAGAAAUGAAAUGAGAACUUUAUUUAUCGGCUAAAAAAUUUUGUUACCAGCGCAGAACAGAAUUUCCAC